rnacentral:lncRNA from 1 species
CUCAAGAAGGAAAUUGGAAACUGGAAGCAAAUGUAGGGGUAAUUAGACACCUGGGGCUUGUGUGGGGGUCUGCUUGGCGGUGAGGGGGCUCCACACAAGCUUCCCAGGUGCAAAAGAUGCCUGGGGAUGCGGGAAGGGAAAGGCCACAUCUUCACGCCUUCGCGCCUGGCAUUGUGAGCAACCACUGAGACUCAUUAUAUAACACUCGUUUUCUUCUUGCAACCCUGCGGGCCGCGCGGUCGCGCUUUCUCCGCCCUCCGCCGGGUGGACCUGGAGCGCUUGAG